GACGAACCGUGCGAACGUUGUUCGGAAUCACUGGGCUUAAAGGGCGCGUAGACGGGUUCGCAAGUCUGUGGUGAAAGCCUCCAGCUUAACUGGAGAAGUGCCAUGGAUACUGCGCAUCUUGAGGAGGGUAGGGGCGUCUGGAACGGUCGGUGGAGCGGUGAAAUGCGUUGAUAUCGACCGGAACUCCGGUGGCGAAGGCGAGGCGCUGGACCCUUUCUGACGCUGAGGCGCGAAAGCCAGGGGAGCAAACGGG
rnacentral:rRNA from 1 species